GAGUUUGAUCAUGGCUCAGAUUGAACGCUGGCGGAAUGCUUUACACAUGCAAGUCGAGCGGCAGCGCGGGGCAACCUGGCGGCGAGCGGUGAACGGGUGAGUAAUGCGAUCGGAACAUGUCCAUGUCGUGGGGGAUAGCCCGGCGAAAGCCGGAUUAAUACCGCAUAUGCCCGAGAGAGGAAAGUGGGGGACCGCAAGGCCUCACGCGAUUGGGUUGGCCGAUGUCCGAUUAGCUAGUUGGCGGGGUAAGAGCCACCAAGGCGAUGAUCGGUAGCUGGUCUGAG
rnacentral:rRNA from 1 species